GACGAACGCUGGCGGCGUGCUUAACACAUGCAAGUCGAACGAGAAGAGAUGAGAAGCUUGCUUCUUAUUGAUUCGAGUGGCAAACGGGUGAGUAACGCGUAAGCAACCUGCCCUUCAGAUGGGGACAACAGCUGGAAACGGCUGCUAAUACCGAAUACGUUCUUUUGUCGCAUGGCAGAGGGAAGAAAGGGAGGCUCUUCGGAGCUUUCGCUGAAGGAGGGCUUGCGUCUGAUUAGCUAGUUGGAGGGGUAACGGCCCACCAAGGCGACGAUCAGUAGCCGGUCUGAGAGGAUGAAACGGCCACAUUGGGACUGAGACACGGCCCAGACUCCUACGGGAGCAGCAGUGGGGAAUCUUCCGCGAAUGGACGAAAGUCUGACGGAGCAACGCCGCGUGAGUGAAGAAGGUCUUCGGAUCGUAAAGCUCUGUUGAGAGGGACGAGAGAUUACUUCAGGAAAUGGGAGUAAGAGGACGGUACCUUUCGAGGAAGCCACGGCUAAAC
rnacentral:rRNA from 1 species